ACUAACAUUUUGGUUAACGUUAGCUACUGCUGUGGCUUGAGGCUGCUAGCUAACAGUAAACUGACAGGAAAAGGCUCUGACAGGACGGAUUCAUGCAGAUAGGCUACGAUGUGAAUUGGAGGCUAGCUAACGACUAAUGUUAGAUGGAUAUAUGGAAAUUCUUCAAGAGAGGCAGUGCCAGCAGCUCUGCCGAAGGCCAAUCCGCAGACAAGAAUGAGGGAAAGAAACUGGAGGCUGACAGGGCUGAGGGAGCAUGGCUGAUGAAGGGUCAUGCAGAAAGAGGCUUCUAUGCAAGGCAGAGAUAAACAUGCGAGCUGUAUAAGUGAGAGAGAGCAAGCAUGCCCAGAGAAAGAGGGACAAGAAACAGAUCCAGAGAGAAAGGGACAACAAACAGAUCCAGAAAGGGAGGGAGAACAAACUGUUCCAGACAGGUAGGGACAACAAACAGAUCUAGACAGGUAGGGAGAACAAACAGAUCCAGAGAGAGAGGGACAACAAACAGAUCCAGAGAGGGAGGGAGAACAAUCCGAUCCAGACAGGGAGGGAUAACAAACUGUUCCAGACAGGUAGGGACAACAAACAGAUCUAGACAGGUAGGGAGAACAAACAGAUCCAGAGAGGGAGGGACAACAAACAGAUCUAGACAGGGAGGGACAACAAACUGAUCCAGAGAAAGAAAGUAAUCAAGCCGCUGCAGCAACACCUUGAAAUGAGAGAGCUAUUUGGGUGACAAAGACACUGGGCCCAGACAAGUGAAGCUGAAUAACUACCCACACGAAAGUUUCGAUACACAGAAAAGGGCAUUUCAGCACUGCUGGUUUGAGAAAUACAAUUGGGUAGAGUACUCUGUCCACAAAAACGCAGCUUUCUGCUUUCCAUUUAGAGUUUUUGGCAAAAACAUUACAUUUGAUGAUUUUUGUCAGCAAUGGCUGCAAAAAUUUGAAAAAAGCUUUGUUUAUCCUCUCUGGGCUAGG